UGUGUGUGUGUGUGUGUGUGUGUGUGUGUGUGUAGUGAUGCUGUGCUGUGGUGUAUACCUGAAGGUUAGAGGAUAAUUCUGGAAAGCCUGUUCUCUCUUUCCCCCAGGUUCCAGGUAUUGAACUCAUGUCAUCAGGCUUGGUGGCAAAUGCCUUUAUCCCCUGAGCCAUCUCACUGGCCCCUAUAAUUUGUAUUUCUCGUGGGUACAUUGGUUAUGAUUGUACUGCUGUUCUGACUGCCCUGUCUAAAGGUGGCGCUCAAGGGUGGUGGUGUGCACAGUGCCGUCUGGAGAGCUUGGUAAAUAUAAAGAAUGCUGUGUGCACUUACCCACUGGAUUCUCAUUCUGUAGAUGUGAAUGUGGCCUUCUCCCCACAGUCCAGUAAUUCUAGUGCAUGCUGCGAAGUUUAAGAGCCAUCUCUCUAGGCGUCCCGUAACAGGGUAGAACAGUUGUUUUCCAGUGUGACCUGCAUAGUCAGCCACUCUUACUGAAACCCAAGGGUUGAUUGAGCCAGCCUUACCUGGCACCAGAGAAUCUGUGUUUCCACCUUGUUCCCAGGGAUAAAGCUACAGAUGUAGCUCAGUGGGUAGAGUGCUCACCUAGAAAACAUGAAGCCAUAGUCUCAGUCUUCAGUACCCAGGAGAUAAAGGCAGGAAGAUUGAACAUUCAAGGUCAUCUCUGGUAUACAGGGUCAGGCACCAUAGUUUGAUGGGAAGAGCUAUACCAGCAGUGCUUAACCAGUGCUGAUUUUUUUUUUUUUUUUUUUUUUUUUUUUUUUGCCCCAACCUGGCAAAAUCAAGGACAUUUCCAGCAACUACAGGUAGAAUCUGGAAGUGCCACUGGCAUCUCAUAGCAACACACCCCACUGUGCAAGGCAGAAUGAACUCAUCAAAAAUUGCCUAUAUUUGAGAUGGGGAAGUCCUUAUGUGGAAAAGGCAUUGAUAAGCUGGCCAGCCUCCGAAAGGGAGCCGGGCUGGUCAGCACAGACUUUUGGGAUCACUGAGAUGCAGCCCAUUAGCCCAUAGUAUGUUUCACACUGAGGUCUGAUAACCACUGAGGCCACACCCUUCUCCUGACACCUCCUGUCCUUCGGUUUCAUUGUUUCUCUGUAGCCCAUGCUGCUGGCCAAAUGCAUGUCCUGUGUCCGUGUCUUAUGUAUGUUCCGUGUCCCGUAUUAGAAUGUAGAUGCCAGACUUCUGUUUGUUUGUGUCAUCUCCUCCCUAUGGACAGCUCCUAGACUCACAAUUCUCAACCUAUGGGUUGAGACUACCCCCCCC
rnacentral:lncRNA from 1 species